UACGGAGGGGGCUAGCGUUGUUCGGAAUUACUGGGCGUAAAGCGCACGUAGGCGGACUGUUAAGUCGGGGGUGAAAUCCUGGGGCUCAACCUCAGAAUUGCCUUCGAUACUGGCAGCCUUGAGUACGGGAGAGGUGAGUGGAAUUCCCAGUGUAGAGGUGAAAUUCGUAGAUAUUGGGAAGAACACUAGUGGCGAAGGCGGCUCACUGGCCCGUAACUGCCGCUGAGGUGCGAAAGCGUGGGGAGCAAACAGG
rnacentral:rRNA from 1 species